AAAUCCCUUGACAGUUGUGGGGCUGAGGAGCUAAUUAAGAAUUACUUUAACAAUAAAGCUGCUGAUUCUGGAAUUUAUGAAUCUUGUCAGAGAUACAUUUUAUGCAACUGUUUGCUUGAGAAGGACUCUCAGUUCAGUGAAAGCAAGGUAGCUGUAACCUUGAGCAGUGAGCAUAAGUUACAUUUGCUACUCCUUGAAAACUCAUGUGAUGGGUCAGGUUCAAGAUUAAAAUUGGUUGGCUGUCAUGGUACACAACAGACUAGAGAGAUUUUUGUGGGUUUGGG
rnacentral:misc_RNA from 1 species